UGGAGAAUAACCGGAUGGGUGCAAUCGGAGGUGCUAUUUCAGGAGCUGGCCAUUCUUCAAGUCAGAAGGCCUGAGAGAGGAGCUGCCCAGGUGGUCUUCAUGGGGCUGUGCGGCCAGUCAUCCCCCACAGGUUGACAAUCCUUGCGUACUUCAUCCUUGUUGGAUCCUCUGUAUCCCUGACGAUGAGCAACUGUGAGGCCCGUUUCAGCACUGAGUUCCAGUCAGGAAAACAUCCACCCACCCACCACACGCUCACACUUACACACACAUUCACACAUGCACACA
rnacentral:lncRNA from 10 species